GUUUGGAAAAAAAAAUUAACGGGUGGAAACCCCAUUUUUUUUUUAGAAAAUUCAAUUUUUAAAUCUGAAAAACUGAUUGUUUUUUUAAGUAAAAUGUGCAAAACUAAUACUCCAUAAUUUUCUUCUAGAUUUAAAAAAAGAUAGUUUUCUGGUUUUUUUUUUUAAACACAGUUUUUCCAUAAAAAAAUUAAUUUUUUCAGAUUUUUAUAAAAAUCUAAUUUUUCACAUUUUGAAAAGAAAAAAAAAUUAUUGUUGUCCGUCAGUCAAGGUUUUACUCGUUAAAAAAAAGUUUUCCAAAUUUAAAAAAAUUCCAAGGUUUCAGAUUUCUUUUUAAAAGAAUAAAUCAAUUUUUCAGUAAUAAAAUGUCAUGUGCAAUUUAUUUAAAAAAAAAAAAAAAUUAGUGUUGUCCGUUAGUCAAGGGGAAUAAAUGAGCCAAAAAGUUGAAUCGAGGGGUAGUUUUAGCAAAAUAGAUGAAUAAAGGGUAUUUUUAUACCUUUUCUAAAAGUUCAGGGGCAUUUUUGUUCUUUUCCGUUAAAUUUAUUUGGGAUUGUGACUAAAAGUGCACCACUUAUGCAAACAUAAUGUACUAUUAGUGCACCAUGUGAAAGAAUAUGUAUGAUUUUGAUCCAAACCCAAACAUUAUGGAUGAUUUUGGUCCUUUUCUCUUACUCCUUCCGUCCCGGAUUAGUUGUCACGUUUUUUUUCUUUUUCUUUUUUUAAUUAAUUUAAGGCCACUAGGCUUUUUGUCACCUAGUGGCUGUUUUAUUGACAAUCAAAUAGGCAACAAAACAAAAACCAGAUAGUUGCCCGAAAACAUAAAGGCAGUAAAAAGAAAAGCAUCAAAAACUCUCUUUGACCGGUCCAGAAGUGGCAACGUCGAGGUAUGCUGCCGGAGAAGAGCUUGCCGCCGCCGGUGUGUCGAUUUGUGAUUCUGUAGCUCACUGUUGUGCUCUGAAGUGUAGAUCUGAGGUGUGGUUAACGGUGACCAGGUAGCCGGUACUUGAUUCAUUCCAGCUUUGUUCGGUCUAGUUCAAUCGAGGUGCGCCACCAUUCGAUCAUGGCGGCUUCUUCUUCUUUAGUUGACUUUGUAGUAUUUCGAGCUACAUCUCGUACUUUUAUAUUCAGACUAGUAGUUCCAUGACUUAGACAUUUUUAUGGGGUUUGUGGGCAAGACUCAGUAUUUGUAUUUCGCUUCCGCACUUUUCUUUAUAUUAUGAGACUGCAUAUUAUUCAUUUUA